GUCUUCAGUUGCCAGCACGUAAAGGUGGGAACUCUGAAGAUACUGCCCCGGUUAACGGGGAGGAAGGUGGGGAUGACGUCAAGUCCUCAUGGCCCUUAUGCCCAGGGCUACACACGUGCUACAAUGGCAUAUACAAAGGGUCGCGAUACCGCGAGGUGGAGCCAAUCCCAUAAAGUAUGCCACAGUUCGGAUUGGAGUCUGCAACUCGACUCCAUGAAGUUGGAAUCGCUAGUAAUCGCAGAUCAGCAUGCUGCGGUGAAUACGUUCCCGGGCCUU
rnacentral:rRNA from 1 species